GUUUUGUAAUAGGUUUAUUAGCUGUGAGAUGGUCGCAUGGUAAAACAUAUUUCAACUCUCCUCUUUCUCUCUCUCUAGGGUUUUGUUUUUCAUCGAUUGCACGAAAAAUUCCCCAAUUGUUCGUAUCUAUUCGAUCGAAAUGGAAAAUGGAGGCGGAGAUUUGGAGGCAAAAAUUGAGAUGUUGCUGAAUGUGGAGAAGCAGAUGAGGCAAGUGGGUGAUGUUGCAGGUACGAGGAAGGCCGUCACACCUCUUGCAAUUCUUCUUCUCACACCUCAAACAAUACCCCUCAUUUUCUCCCUCCAAGAAAGCCAAAGCCGGCGAAGGAGAGACGCCGCAGUUCCGUCCUCCCACCGCCAAAAUACCCUCACCCAACCCCACAAUCAAACCAUUUCCCUUCUCCUCUGGUCACUUCUCCGAGGAAAAAAGUUAAAGAAAGCAGGUGAAGUCAUUUCUUUUUUCUUGUGUUCAUUUCUCACCCAAAAGACAGAGUAAAGAAAACCAAGAAAAGCAGGGGGAGAGACAGAGCGCGAAGGAGGCCUCAAAUUAUGGUGUCAUUGCCAAGAGGAUGUGAAUCAGACAGGAGACCUGCAAACUUGACAAUGAUGGCUUUCAGAAGGCAUAUUCCGUUGAUUUCAGACCACUCAAUGUACCGCCCGCUGCUGCAUUCCAAGGGGCUCAUUAUAUUUCACUUGAAAAGGCAAAUAAUCUCGUAUGCAUCUGGUAACCAAGCUUGUACACUCGUUUAAGGAAGGUUCGGAGGAAUGGUCCAAGAAGGCGGUAGAGCUUGAGGAGUCAUGAAGACUUUAGAAUUUGGUUGUGGAAUUUCAAAAUUAUUUGUUUGUCUUACGUCUUCAUGCAUGCUGGAUGCGAAUGGAAGGUGUAUGAGGUGGCAAAGACGGUCUUUGAAAACAAUGACACAGAAACUAGAAAGUCUUUGCAAAGUGAUAAUGGUGGUAAAAAGUUGAUCAUUUUCUUGGCUUUCACUCUUCAUUUCAUCCAUCAAGCAUUCCUUUAUAUGUUUGCAUUGUUAUCUUGAGUUCUUGAUAUUUAUCAUCUACAUUAUGGGGUUGUGAUUUUCUUUUUAUCUAUGGCAAGUUUGUUCCUUUGAUAAAUAGUGUUGGAUGCUUUUUAAGUGGUUUUCAAUUACUUUACUACUGUGGUGUGGGUGUUUCUCAUCUUGUUUUAUUUGGUUGUGCUUUUAUGUUAUCUCAUUCAAGUAAACGAUGUGUAUUGUUCUUUGUGGUAUAUGAAGCUCUGUGAGACAUAUUUUGUUGUUGGGAUGUCUGUAAUUGUUUAGCAUUUUAGUAAACGAUGUGUUCUGUUUAGCAUUUUAGGAUUACAUGAAACUUCUCAUAUUCUAAUUUUGAUUUGAACAGCCCAAUUCACCUUCCAAAUGAGAUAAAACCAUUUGAAAGUAAAGAAUUCCAUGACAUAUAUGUAGUGUUAAUUAACACAUAGGAACAGAGGGUAACUUCUUUUUAAGUUAUCAUUUAUCUUUUGUUAUCCUAUCAAACUUCUUUUGUUUUGUUUUCUUUUGCCAGUUACUAUCAAGCUACCUCUGUUUAUAUUAUUUAGUAAUUUGACAAAUAAAUGUGAUUUAGGAAGUCAUAAGAUUGAGACAUGAAUGUGCACUAGCGUUAUGUGAUUGUUGCUUUGAUUAACUGUGGAGUCGUUGAAGCAUAAUUUCAUGCAUUUUGAAUUGCUUUGAAACAGAGUUGGAAUAUCUUUGCUUCUACUAAAUCUUAGGAUUCUUGUGAGAUCAUAUUUGUUUGCUAUAACUUUACCCGAUUGAUCCUUAUAUCCCUAACAUGGGACAUGCAUCCAUUUUGAAAAAUUCAAAGGCCCUUCCCCUUCCGGAAAAAAAAGAAAGAAAGAAAGAAAAGUAAGAAAAAGGAAAUUACAUCUACUCCGCUGGUUUAGGUCACUUAGUAACUGGGUAACUUCAUCACAAAUGUUGUUAUUCACGUAAAACGGUGGCCGGAGCUAUGAGUAUGCAAAGCACUUUAGGUAAAACGUGUUUUGGUUGAGUAACCGGGUGCCUUCACCACAAGUGUUGUCAUUCGCGUCAAAAGGCCAGAAUGCGACGUUUUUUGGUUGAGUAACCGGGUGCCUUCACCACAAGUGUUGUCAUUCGCGUCAAAAGACCGGAAAACGGGCUAAAGAACACAAGUCGCGGGCAAAAACAAAGGAAAAAAAAGAAAAUAAAAGCCGUGACUAAAGCAGAAGGGGAAGAAAAAAGAAAAAAAAUUCAUUAGUGGCCAAAGAAAAGAAAGAAAAGCGAAAUCCGUCCCGACUAGGUAGAUGUAAGGAGAUAAAAGGGUAU